AGACCCGAAACCCGGUGAUCUAGCCAUGGGCAGGUUGAAGGUUGGGUAACACUAACUGGAGGACCGAACCGACUAAUGUUGAAAAAUUAGCGGAUGACCUGUGGCUGGGGGUGAAAGGCCAAUCAAACCGGGAGAUAGCUGGUUCUCCCCGAAAGCUAUUUAGGUAGCGCCUCGUGAAUUCAUCUCCGGGGGUAGAGCACUGUUUCGGCUAGGGGGCCAUCCCGGCUUACCAACCCGAUGCAAACUGCGAAUACCGGAGAAUGUUAUCACGGGAGACACACGGCGGGUGCUAACGUCCGUCGUGAAGAGGGAAACAACCCAGACCGCCAGCUAAGGUCCCAAAGUCAUGGUUAAGUGGGAAACGAUGUGGGAAGGCCCAGACAGCCAGGAUGUUGGCUUAGAAGCAGCCAUCAUUUAAAGAAAGCGUAAUAGCUCACUGGUCGAGUCGGCCUGCGCGGAAGAUGUAACGGGGCUAAACCAUGCACCGAAGCUGCGGCAGCGACACUCAGGUGUUGUUGGGUAGGGGAGCGUUCUGUAAGCCUGCGAAGGUGGCCUGUGAGGGUUGCUGGAGGUAUCAGAAGUGCGAAUGCUGACAUAAGUAACGAUAAAGCGG
rnacentral:rRNA from 2 species